GACUAAGGGCUCCUCCAUAACUAUUUAGCUAAGUAAAAUGUUUAAUUUACUCGCAGUACCCUAGCAAAAUCGUUUUUUUUACGUAAGAUACAAAAAAAAUUCUUUCAGAUGGUCGUUGCUGGAAUAAUUAGUUUUUCCACAUAAGGACUUGCUAUUUCAAACUAAAUUGAAAUUCAACUAUACUCUUCGUAUCAUUCCUAAUUAAAUGGCUACGCCUGUUUACCUUAAAAGUGCACAGCAUGCCUUACGAUUUCACUUUCUUCGAAGAACUAAUUUUCUCUUAAGCUCUCAGUUACUGCCCAUAUAAAUUCUCUUUCUUUAACUAUUUUUCGCUUCUUUAUCUUAAUAUUCUAUUCAGAAGAUAAAAGGUUAACUCUAUCACCUAUUAAUCUUACAUGAAAACGUUUUUUUAGUCUUGUAAUUCUUCAGAGAGCAAUUAACCCAUACCCCGUCGCUGUGUUAACCUUGACGUCCAGAGCUUCAAAGUCCCCAUAUUCUUGUGGUCUAUGCACUUAGAAUUUGACGUAGCAUCUAAGCCAAAGGCACUAAUUAUUAGCACUUCCAUUUAAAAAGAUCAAUACAACCAGCCUUCUGAUAAUACGGCCUUAAGGCCUUACGGGUGCUAUGAUAAUAAUAAAGCGCACCAAAGUUACAAAACGUAAG